UACGUAGGGCGCAAGCGUUAUCCGGAAUUAUUGGGCGUAAAGAGCUCGUAGGCGGUUUGUCGCGUCUAUCGUGAAAGUCCGAGGCUCAACCUCGGAUCUGCGGUGGGUACGGGCAGACUAGAGUGAUGUAGGGGAGACUGGAAUUCCUGGUGUAGCGGUGACAUGCGCAGAUAUCAGGAGGAACACCGAUGGCGAAGGCAGGUCUCUGGGCAUUAACUGACGCUGAGGAGCGAAAGCAUGGGGAGCGAACAGG
rnacentral:rRNA from 1 species